GAUGAACGCUGGCGGCGUGCCUAAUACAUGCAAGUCGAGCGAACGGACGAGAAGCUUGCUUCUCUGAUGUUAGCGGCGGGGGGGUGAGUAACACGUGGAUACCCUACCUAUCAGACUGGGAUCACCUGGGGACACCGGAUCUAAUCCCGGAUAAUAUUUUGCUCCGCGUGGUUCAAUAGUGAAAGACGGUCUUGCUGUCACUUAUAUAUGGAUCCGCGCUGCAUUAGCUAGUUGGUUAGUUAACGGCAUACCAAGGCGACUAUGCAUAGCCGACGUGUGAGAGUGAUAGGCCACACGAGAACUGAGACGCGGUCCAGACUCCUACGGGAGGCAGCAGUAGGGAAUGUUCGGCAGUAGGCGAGAGCCUUACGGAGCGAGGCCGCGUGAGAGAUGAAGGUCUUGGGAUCGUAAAGCUCUGUUAUGAGUGAAGAACAGAUGUGUAAGGAACUGUACACAGCGUGACGGUAACUAAUCAGAAAGCCACGGCUAACUACGUG
rnacentral:rRNA from 1 species